AGCUUGCUGCUUUGCUGACGAGUGGCGGACGGGUGAGUAAUGUCUGGGAAACUGCCCGAUGGAGGGGGAUAACUACUGGAAACGGUAGCUAAUACCGCAUAACGUCGCAAGACCAAAGAGGGGGACCUUCGGGCCUCUUGCCAUCGGAUGUGCCCAGAUGGGAUUAGCUAGUAGGU
rnacentral:rRNA from 1 species